rnacentral:tmRNA from 1 species
GUAAAGGUUUCGACAGGGAUUCUGAAGCUGGAGAAGCUGUCCGUAGGAUGGUACGUUAAACCUCAAACCUAAAUAUAAACGCUGAAGAUAAUUUAGCACUCGCUGCCUAAGUGCAGCGCGUAGGCCUGAGUGCACCUGCACAUUCAGUAACCUGCGUCGACUAUGCAGGAAACGACAUGAUGAUUGCUUCGUAAUCAUGGCCGUAUAAGGAGCUACUUUUCAUAUUAGGGCGUAAACUUCCGGUUAUGAGAAGGAAAUGGCUUUGCCACAAUAGUUUACUAUGACAGUAGAAGGACAGGGGACGGGUUUUUGGACAGGGGUUCGACUCCCCUCUAAUCCAU